rnacentral:rRNA from 1 species
GACGAACGCUGGCGGCGUGCUUAACACAUGCAAGUCGAGCGGAAAGGCCACUUCGGUGGUACUCGAGCGGCGAACGGGUGAGUAACACGUGAGCAAUCUGCCCCUGGCUUUGGGAUAGCCACCGGAAACGGUGAUUAAUACCGGAUACGACCACUUCUCGCAUGGGAUGGUGGUGGAAAGUUUUUUCGGCCAGGGAUGUGCUCGCGGCCUAUCAGCUUGAUGGUGAGGUAAUGGCUCACCAUGGCUUCGACGGGUAGCCGGCCUGAGAGAGUGACCGGUCACACUGGGACUGAGACACGGCCCAGACUCCUACGGGAGGCAGCAGUGGGGAAUAUUGGACAAUGGGCGGAAGCCUGAUCCAGCAACGCCGCGUGAGGGAUGACGGCCUUCGGGUUGUAAACCUCUUUCAGCAGGGACGAAGCGCAAGUGACGGUACCUGCAGAAGAAGCACCGGCCAACUACGUGCCAGCAGCCGCGGUAA